UUUGCUUCUUCACCCGGCGCCCGUAGCCGAGAUCCAUGUCGGUGGCGACCCGGCCUGACGUCCGCCCCCGCGCCAAUCUUGACGGUGACCAACCCAUCCAGGACGGCGAUGCGCGAGUGAGUGGGGAGGACGAGGGGGCCGUGAGUCGUCGGCUAGGAAACGCGAGCAGGCUUGUGGUCAAUGGGGUCGUAUUUCAUAGGCCGUUGACAAGCGGUCUAGGUCGAUCUGACGAAUGGUGGCAAGUAUUGCUCAUGAUAGCGUUCUUCCCCACCCAGUCUUUCCCCGCAUGCCCAUGGCAAACAGCUUAAGCGCCUGCGAAUCCAUCCCUUGCUUGCUGGAGCUGAACCUAGGAAUCAUCCAGCCUCACAAUUUCUAGGACAAGAUUUGAGAGAUCCUACAACAUUCAGAUGGACCAGACAAAAUGCUGCUUCUUUGUUUGGUUCAUACUGUACCAGGGGUUCCCGGGUCAGAAACUAUGGAGAAAAUUGUCUUCUGUGGAUAGUGGUGAUGCAGGCUUGCAAUGGCUAUAGUCUAAUAUGUGUCCCCACUAUAUGAUACUGUAGGUGAUUGGGAGGCCAUUAAAUAGUAGGCCCACGUCAUAUAAUGUUUCAGAUCAAAUAAUAAAAUAUAUGGGACCACACACUCUUUUAAUAAGAAAUCCAAUGUAAUACUUUAGGAAUUCAGAGAAUACAUUUCCAUGUCAAACGGGUGCAGGAGAUGUUAACUACAUCAUUGAUCAUGCUGAGAUUGAUGUUGUCUUCAUACAAGACAAGAAAAUAAAAGAGAUACUAUCCCCAAACAGCAAGGCUGCUAAUAGGCUAAAAGGUAAGGAACGUCGCAGUCAGCUGAUCCCUCGUCCUCUACCGAUGUCGCGUCGCCCUGCGGCCUCCCCCAGAAGUGUAGAUCCACACAGGCUCAGCUACAUUUCUCCUCUUGUUGGUAAGGAAGCUCGCUCUAAUGGAUUGCUGCGAGGGUUAGUUCUGCCCUGUUCUUCCGUUCCUACGCUGUCAACAAUCAAGUUCCAAGUACUGACGUAUCGCCGCCGAUGACUUAGGCAAUUUGAACAGUAUUUUGGAUAAUCCUUAUUCAUGUGGUAUGUCUUAGAACUAGUCUGUCUUAAUGGCCUGUCAUUUUUGUUUGACUCUGCAUAGAGUGUAUGCUCCAAUAAAAUGUGCGCCUAUCAUUCUAAAUAUUAUAUGUUGGAGGGAAUCAGACUGAAUGUUGGACUUGCUGGACAGAUUAGGGUAACAAAAAUAAUUCUCUUCUCUUGCUACAUGAUUCCUGUAUUUUUUUUUGGACAUGGCAUUAUGAUCUCGCCUUUGCCCAUCUAUAGCUACAUAUUAGCACCUUUGUCUCAAAUGCUCUGCCUAUUUCUUCAACCAUAGAUUCAAGAUCUUCAAAGUCAUAAGCCUCCGAAAAAAUGAAGACCUAGAACAAAUUUAUGAGAGGGUAAAUCCAACCGUCCUUCUAUAAGGAUUAUAAGUCUAUUAUACUUUUGUUUUGGUCAUUAUACAUGUAAUGAUUUUUUGUAGUUGAGUGGAACAUAAAUAGUUGGCACCGUUUUAGUAAAUUCAGGCACAGGAUCUUAGACAUCCGAAUGAUGAACAGAGAAAACAUAGAGAGUGUAGUAGGGCUUGAAUAUACUUUACUUGAAAUAAGCUCAGUCAAUACAGUAAUUAGAGGACACUUGUUGAACUCCACAAACAGCAAAUUUGUCUUUUCUUCAAAUUUUCGAGCUGCAAGAUCCCACUGUAUGCAUUACUGUACAUAUAGAACAAGAAUUGCAGUUACCACAUCAUAUUUGUUUUAGUAUUCAGUGUCCUUUGUCCAGUAAGCUUUAUGUCUCACAAAUUAGAUAAAUUGGGGUUAUCUACAUGUACACUUUGUGUUUUGUUUUUAUCCAGUCAUGAAUGUUCUACAGCAAGCAAAAUUUAUGACCUGAUCAACUAUAUAAGGAGUCCAUCAGUGAUAAUAUAAAAAGGAAGGACCUACAAUUCUGAUGAAAAAGGUUUGAUCAUGAGUUUUAUUUCAUUACAUAUAUAAAUUGGGUGUCAAAGUUAAUUCAGUAACUAGGACAUAAUGAAAUAUUUACGCUUACCUGUACAAAUUUUAAUAGUAUAUCAAGCCAUCAAGUUUUACAGUCUAUUUAUUAGAACUGAAUCAUAAUUGGUUUGCGCUACUUUCAAUUUACAAUAUUUACAACUAGCAUUACAAAUAGUGAAAAUACAGUUGUAGUUACAACCUUGUCUCCAUUAUGCGUGUGCGCAUAUACAUUGCUACCUCUACAUUUUGCAUUUGAGUGAAGUGAUCUCUGGCAAAUUAAAUAACUACACUUUAUACGACAUUGUUUGUUGCUAUAUCAUGCAUAGAGAUGGCAACGGGUACAAACCCGUCGGGUUUUGCUAUCCCAAACCCGUACCCGUG